rnacentral:rRNA from 1 species
UACAGAGGUCCCAAGCGUUGUUCGGAUUCACUGGGCGUAAAGGGUGCGUAGGUGGUGAGGUAAGUCGGAUGUGAAAUCUCCGGGCUCAACCCGGAAACUGCAUUGGAAACUACCUUGCUUGAGGAUUUGAGGGGGGAUUGGAAUGACUUGGUGUAGCAGUGAAAUGCGUAGAUAUCAAGUGGAACACCAGUGGCGAAGGCGAAUCCCUGGAAAAUACCUGACACUGAGGCACGAAAGCUAGGGGAGCAAACAGG